GCCGCGGCCUUAUCAGCCGUUUGUUUAGCUGGGUGGGAAGUCGAGCCCCGCCUGCCCGGGCCGGGAUUUUUCCAUCAGCCCCGCUGGAUUUUUCUAGGCGCUUCGUAACAAAGUCUCUUGACGCGCGGGGUAUGCCCCGGUUUUAGAAUUUAUGUCCUCGCGGCUCCGUUGGGGAGCGCAGUGCCGCGAACGCGAUCGGAGCUGGCCCCGAACUACACCCAGAAUGCCGCAAGUUUAUAUGAAAAUGAACUAGACUACAGCUACUGUUGACAUACAGGCUAUGGACGCGAUCCAGGAAAACAAGAUAUUUUGAGACCGGUGGAGGGCAUCUAAAGUUUGUGUUGCUUACUGGUAAAAUUAUUCAUUUUUGUUGAAACUUGCAAUUCCUGGCUGAACCGUGCUGUGAUAAAUAGAGCUAAUACCCUACCAAUGAAUGAAAAUAUAUAUCAACUUACGUUUUGGAUAACGUGAAUAAAACAUAUUCAGAAAGCAAACCUUAGAAAUUUUUGUUUUCGUGGUCUCCUUUCUCCCUCAUGACUUCAAGAGGCUUCAGGAAACUGAUAAACAUAUGAAAAAUAUCCAACUGUAGCCCUGAGUUACCCAAGACCUAAGACAAGCCAGGUGUGGGGGCAUUAGUGACAAUGAGAAAUAAGGGGCAACAGGGCUGUUGUUGCUUCUUUAGAACCCCACUCAAGGGCUGGAGGUGAGUGUGAGAUCAUCUCCUCUGCUGCUCCUCCCCAAGAGAGUAGAAGUCAUGGGGCUGAGCGGUCAAAGGAGAACCUUAAUCUUUUUCUCAAUGGAGAGACAUUUGUGCACAUCUGGAAAUAUCAAGCUACAUUUAAACACUAGGAAACUGAAUAGUAUAAAAAGACCUGGGUGUCUGCUACUUAACAAAAUAGGAAAAGAAAAAGAGAUGACUAAGACAAAGGAAUGUAACUGCUUCUUUAACUCUCUUAUUCCUUCACACUUGCAGAAGAGAUAACUGUGCAGAACAACAGAGAGAGGGUGACUGGAGAACUGAAAGGAGAAUUUUUGCCUAAACAAGAGUAGCUGAAGGAAAAAAACCUUUGGGUCAGUAAUUUUCAUUCUGAUAAAGUUCCUUCAGAGUUAGUAAAUUGUGAGGUUUACUUUAUUGACUGAUGUUUUAAGUGAAAUCUCAUGAUUAAAGU